AUUGAACGCUGGCGGCAUGCUUUACACAUGCAAGUCGAACGGUAACAGGCCGCAAGGUGCUGACGAGUGGCGGACGGGGGAGUAAUGCAUCGGAACGUGCCCAGUCGUGGGGGAUAACUACUCGAAAGAGUAGCUAAUACCGCAUACGAUCUAUGGAUGAAAGCGGGGGACCGUAAGGCCUCGCGCGAUUGGAGCGGCCGAUGUCAGAUUAGGUAGUUGGUGGGGUAAAGGCUCACCAAGGCAACGAUCUGUAGCUGGUCUGAGAGGACGACCAGCCACACUGGGACUGAGACACGGCCCAGACUCCUACGGGAGGCAGCAGAGGGGAAUUUUGGACAAUGGGCGCAAGCCUGAUCCAGCAAUGCCGCGUGCAGGAAGAAGGCCUUCGGGUUGUAAACUGCUUUUGUACGGAACGAAACGGCUCUGGUUAAUACCCGGGGCUAAUGACGGUACCGUAAGAAUAAGCACCGGCUAACUACGUG
rnacentral:rRNA from 1 species